rnacentral:lncRNA from 1 species
AGAGGUCCUUCCGGGAGUCCAGCUGACACAGGUCUCGGCCAGGGCUCUACCUGCGCUCAGGAUUGGAAAAGCUGUGCGCAAUGAGAGGCGCGUUGGUUCUCCGCAACGGGGAGCAGAAACCGGCCUGGGUCAGCCAGUGGACUGGUUGGAAGCAGAGAACUGAAAGAAAACCAACACCCUAGUGAGGCCAAGGGCCCUAACUGUUGUCAAGUGACAGUGAACUCCAGUGACCAUCAGACAAGGGUAAGCGUAGUCCUCACCCCUCAUCAAGGAAACUUCCCUUGGCAACUGACAUCGAUCAUUACAGAAAACUGCAACCAAUCAAAUUGCAGUUGUACAGCCCAAUCCCAGCAGAUACAGCUACAAAACAACUCUUGCAACUAAGCUCAGGG